rnacentral:rRNA from 1 species
UCGAGAAUCUUUUGCAAUGGGCGCAAGCCUGACAAAGCGACGCCGUGUGAGUGAAGAAGGCCUUAGGGUCGUAAAGCUCUUUCGCUUCGGAACAAGAAAGGUCGGCUAAUAUCCGGCCAAUUUGAGCGUACGAGGUAAAGAAGCACCGGCUAACUCCGUGCCAGCAGCUGCGGUAAUACGGAGGGUGCAAGCAUUAAUCGGAUUUAUUGGGCGUAAAGGGCGCGUAGGCGGAAGUAAAAGUCAGAUGUGAAAUCCUGGGGCUUAACCCCAGAACUGCAUUUGAAACUCUACUUCUAGAGGGUAGGAGGAGAAAACGGAAUUCCACAAGUAGCGGUGAAAUGCGUAGAUAUGUGGAAGAACACCGGUGGCGAAGGCGGUUUUCUAUCUUAUUCCUGACGCUGAGGCGCGAAAGCAAGGGGAUCAAACA